rnacentral:tRNA from 1 species
UUAAAAUCCUCCCUAACGC